rnacentral:rRNA from 1 species
AGAGUUUGAUCAUGGCUCAGAAUCAACGCUGGCGGCGUGCCUCAGACAUGCAAGUCGAACGAUUAAAGCUCUCUUCGGAGAGUGUAUAGAGUGGCGCACGGGUGAGUAACACGUAAGUAAUCUACCUCGAGUGGGGAAUAACAACCGGAAACGGUUGCUAAUACCGCAUAAUGCAGCGGCACCGCAAGGUGACAGUUGUUAAAGAUUUAUCGCUUGAGGAGGAGCUUGCGGCAGAUUAGCUAGUUGGUAGGGUAACGGCUUACCAAGGCUACGAUCUGUAACCGGUCUAAGAGGACGGUCGGUCACACUGACACUGAAUAACGGGUCAGACUCCUACGGGAGGCAGCAGUCGGGAAUUUUGGGCAAUGGGCGAAAGCCUGACCCAGCAACGCCGCGUGAAGGAUGAAGUAUUUCGGUAUGUAAACUUCGAAAGAAUAGGAAGAAUUAAUGACGGUACUAUUUAUAAGGUCCGGCUAACUACGUG